rnacentral:rRNA from 1 species
AGAGUUUGAUCCUGGCUCAGGAUGAACGCUAGCGACAGGCCUAACACAUGCAAGUCGAGGGGCAGCGGGGAGGUAGCAAUACCUUUGCCGGCGACCGGCGCACGGGUGAGUAACACGUAUGCAAUCCACCUGUAACAGGGGGGAUAACCCCGGAGAAAAUCCGGACUAAUACCCCAUAAUAUGGGCGCUCCGCAUGGAGAGUUCAUUAAAGAGAGCAAUUUUGGUUACAGACGAGCAUGCGCUCCAUUAG